rnacentral:lncRNA from 1 species
GCCAGCAGCAGCUCCAACUCAGGCCUGGGGCUGAAAGGACAAAACUAGAACUUUGGCAUGCCGUCACAAAUGGUUUGGCCAAACACGGGCCAGCCUGGAAAAUGCUGAGGGUGACUCCCUGUCUCUUGGCCUCAUCAGGUGUCUCUGCAGGGAGGAUGCUGCAUGAGGUGUGGGCUCAGCACUAGUCUCACCAGGGCUUGCAGUACUGAAGGACACCUCACAGGGACUCUGUUAGCAGGAGCUCAUACCAGGUACCACCACACAGAGCUGCAGUGUACACACAUAAAUAAAAAAGAAGGUUGUGCCAAAAUUCUUCAUGAACAGUUUGCAUUAUUUAAUGACAGUUUCUCCAAAUCAGAAAGAACUGAGCCAACUUAUGAGAUAAUAAAAAGCAGCCCCUACCUUCAGGGCACCCUGAGAAGGGUGGGGAUGAAGGAUAUUGCCAUGCAAAAUGUCCCAACAAAGACCAGCUUCUUGUUUGGAGCUGCAGGCUGGGAGGAGCAGUGCAUGGCCAGGUCCCUGCUGUUGCCCUUGCCUGCCUGCAGGAAAGUGUGUGGCUGCUGCUGA